AAAAACUACAGGAAACUACAGGAAACUACAGGCCCGUUAGUUUGACCUCAAUUGUAUUCAAGGUCUUGGAAGAAAUUUUGAAAGAGAAAGUAGUUAAGGACAUAGAGGCAAAUGGUAAUUGAGAUAAAAUACAACAUUGUACAAAAGGUGCCAGACCAACAUGAUAACUUUAAAAAAAAAAAAAAAAUCAGUUCUCUUAUUAACUAAAUAGGAAAUGCAGUAGAUCAAAUCUACCUGGGUUUCAGUAAGGCAUUUGAUACAUUUCCACAUGGGAAUUUAUUAGUUAAAUUGGAGAAUUAAAAAGGUGGAUAAGAAACUGGUUAAAAGGGAAAUCAAUUCAUAGAACCGUAGGCCUGGAAGGGACAUCCAUAGCAAAUUGUUUCAAUGCUGAAUUACCCUGACGGUUAAGAAGCUUUUCCUAAUGUCCAACCUAAACCUCCCUUGCUGCAAUUUAAGUCAUUGCCUUUUUGUUGUAGUAUGUCUACUUUAAAUGGACACAAAUCGGGAACAGUAACAUACACAAGCCAGUAGGAGAACACUUCAAUCUCCCUGGACAUUCUAUAACCGAUUUAAAAGUAGCCAUACUACAACCAA